rnacentral:rRNA from 1 species
AUUGAACGCUGGCGGCAGGCCUAACACAUGCAAGUCGAGCGAGCGGCGGACGGGUGAGUAAUGUAUGGGGAACUGCCCGAUAGAGGGGGAUAACUACUGGAAACGGUGGCUAAUACCGCAUACUAUCGGAUGAACCCAUAUGGGAUUAGCUAGUAGGUGGGGUAAAGGCUCACCUAGGCGACGAUCUCUAGCUGGUCUGAGAGGAUGAUCAGCCACACUGGGACUGAGACACGGUCCAGACUCCUACGGGAGGCAGCAGUGGGGAAUAUUGAACAAUGGGCGCAAGCCUGAUGCAGCCAUGCCGCGUGUAUGAAGAAGGCCUUCGGGUCGUAAAGUACUUUCAGCGGGGAGGCGUUACCUGCAGAGGAAGCCCCGGCUAACUCCGUGCCAGCCGCCGCGGUAAUUC